rnacentral:rRNA from 1 species
ACGUAGGGUGCAAGCGUUAUUCGGAAUUAUUGGGCGUAAAGCGCAUGUAGGCGGUUUGGUAAGUCUGUUGUGAAAGCCCUGGACUCAAUUCAGGAAGUGCAUCGGAUACUGCCAGACUAGAGUGUAGGAGGGGUGAGCGGAAUUCCUGGUGUAGAGGUGAAAGUCGUAGAUAUCAGGAGGAACAACAGCGGCGAAGGCGGCUCACUGGACUAUUACUGACGCUCAGAUGCGAAAGCGUGGGGAGCAAACAG